ACGGGGGGAGCAAGCGUUGUUCGGAUUUACUGGGCGUAAAGGGCGUCUAGGCGGAGUAAUAAGUCAGAUGUGAAAUCCCCCGGCUCAACCGAGGUGUUGCAUUUGAUACUAUUACCCUUGAGUACGAGAGAGGAAAGCGGAAUUCCAGGUGUAGCGGUGAAAUGCGUAGAUAUCUGGAAGAACACCAGUGGCGAAGGCGGCUUUCUGGCUCGUUACUGACGCUGAAGCGCGAAAGUGUGGGGAGCAAACAG
rnacentral:rRNA from 1 species